rnacentral:rRNA from 1 species
UACGUAGGGUGCGAGCGUUGUCCGGAAUUAUUGGGCGUAAAGGGCUCGUAGGCGGUCUGUCGCGUCGGGUGUGAAAACUCAGGGCUUAACCCUGAGCCUGCUUCCGAUACGGGCAGACUAGAGGUAUGCAGGGGAGAACGGAAUUCCUGGUGUAGCGGUGGAAUGCGCAGAUAUCAGGAGGAACACCGGUGGCGAAGGCGGUUCUCUGGGCAUUACCUGACGCUGAGGAGCGAAAGCGUGGGUAGCAAACAGG